UACGUGNCAGCAGCCGCGGUAAUACGUAGGUCCCGAGCGUUNUCCGGAUUUAUUGGGCGUAAAGCGAGCGCAGGCGGUUAGAUAAGUNUGAAGUUAAAGGCUGUGGCUUAACCAUAGUAUGCUUUGGAAACUGUUUAACUUGAGUGCAGAAGGGGAGAGUGGAAUUCCAUGUGUAGCGGUGAAAUGCCUAGAUAUAUGGAGGAACACCGGUGGCGAAAGCGGCUCUCUGGUCUGUAACUGACGCUGAGGCUCGAAAGCGUGGGGAGCGAACAGGAUUAGAUACCCUGGUAGUNCACGCCGUAAACGAUGAGUGCUAGGUGUUAGGCCCUUUCCGGGGCUUAGUGCCGCAGCUAACGCAUUAAGCACUCCGCCUGGGGAGUACGACCGCAAGGUUGAAACUCAAAGGAAUUGACGGGGGCCCGCACAAGCGGUGGAGCAUGUGGUUUAAUUCGAAGUAACGCGAAGAACCUUACCAGGUCUUGACAUCCCUCUGACCGCUCUAGAGAUAGAGUUUUCCUUCGGGACAGAGGUGACAGGUGGUGUAUGGUUGUCGUCAGCUCGUGUCGUGAGAUGUUGGGUUAAGUCCCGCAACGAGCGCAACCCCUAUUGUUAGUUGCCAUCAUUCAGUUGGGCACUCUAGCGAGACUGCCGGUAAUAAACCGGAGGAAGGUGGGGAUGACGUCAAAUCAUCAUGCCCCUUAUGACCUGGGCUACACACGUGCUACAAUGGCUGGUACAACGAGUCGCAAGCCGGUGACGGCAAGCUAAUCUCUUAAAGCCAGUCUCAGUUCGGAUUGUAGGCUGCAACUCGCCUACAUGAAGUCGGAAUCGCUAGUAAUCGCGGAUCAGCACGCCGCGGUGAAUACGUUCCCGGGCCUUGUACACACCGCCCGUCACACCACGAGAGUUUGUAACACCCGAAGUCGGUGAGGUAACCUUUUAGGAGCCAGC
rnacentral:rRNA from 1 species